rnacentral:rRNA from 1 species
GAUGAACGCUGGCGGCGUGCCUAAUACAUGCGAGUCGAGCGAACGGACGAGAAGCUUGCUUCUCUGAUGUUAGCGGCGGACGGGUGAGUAACACGUGGAUAACCUGCCUAUAAGACUGGGAUAACUUCGGGAAACCGGAGCUAAUACCGGAUGAUAUUUUGAACCGCAUGGUUCAAAAGUGAAAGACGGUCUUGCUGUCACUUAUAGAUGGAUCCGCGCUGCAUUAGCUAGUUGGUAAGGUAACGGCUUACCAAGGCAACGAUGCAUAGCCGACCUGAGAGGGUGAUCGGCCACACUGGAACUGAGACACGGUCCAGACUCCUACGGGAGGCAGCAGUAGGGAAUCUUCCGCAAUGGGCGAAAGCCUGACGGAGCAACGCCGCGUGAGUGAUGAAGGUCUUCGGAUCGUAAAACUCUGUUAUUAGGGAAGAACAUAUGUGUAAGUAACUGUGCACAUCUUGACGGUACCUAAUCAGAAAGCCACGGCUAACUACGUG